rnacentral:rRNA from 1 species
UUCCUGGUGGCCCAACAGCCGCGGUAAUUCCAGCUCCAAUAGCGUAUAUUAAAGUUGUUGCAGUUAAAAAGCUCGUAGUUGAACCUUGGGUCUGGCUGGCCGGUCCGCCUCACCGCGAGUACUGGUCCGGCUGGACCUUUCCUUCUGGGGAAUCCCAUGGCCUUCACUGGCUGUGGGGGGAACCAGGACUUUUACUGUGAAAAAAUUAGAGUGUUCAAAGCAGGCCUUUGCUCGAAUACAUUAGCAUGGAAUAAUAGAAUAGGACGUGCGGUUCUAUUUUGUUGGUUUCUAGGACCGCCGUAAUGAUUAAUAGGGAUAGUCGGGGGCGUCAGUAUUCAGCUGUCAGAGGUGAAAUUCUUGGAUUUGCUGAAGACUAACUACUGCGAAAGCAUUCGCCAAGGAUGUUUUCAUUAAUCAGGGAACGAAAGUUAGGGGAUCGAAGACGAUCAGAUACCGUCGUAGUCUUAACCAUAAACUAUGCCGACUAGGGAUCGGGCGGUGUUUCUAUGAUGACCCGCUCGGCACCUUACGAGAAAUCAAAGUUUUUGGGUUCUGGGGGGAGUAUGGUCGCAAGGCUGAAACUUAAAGAAAUUGACGGAAGGGCACCACAAGGCGUGGAGCCUGCGGCUUAAUUUGACUCAACACGGGGAAACUCACCAGGUCCAGACAAAAUAAGGAUUGACAGAUUGAGAGCUCUUUCUUGAUCUUUUGGAUGGUGGUGCAUGGCCGUUCUUAGUUGGUGGAGUGAUUUGUCUGCUUAAUUGCGAUAACGAACGAGACCUCGGCCCUUAAAUAGCCCGGUCCGCAUUUGCGGGCCGCUGGCUUCUUAGGGGGACUAUCGGCUCAAGCCGAUGGAAGUGCGCGGCAAUAACAGGUCAGUAUGGGCGCUCUUUUAGA